GUGGAUGCCUUGGCAGACAGUACCGAUGAAGGACGUGUGGGGCCGCGAUAGUCCUGGGGGAGCCGCCGACAUGGCUUUGAUCCCAGGGUGUCCGAAUGGGGCAACCCGCCAGCCGUCAUGGGCUGGCACCGCACUUGUGCGGGGGGUACGCAGGGAAGUGAAACAUCUCAGUACCUGCAGGAGAGGAUACUCCGUGAGUAGUGGCGAGCGAAAGCGGAUGAUGGCUAAACCGUGCGCGUGUGAUACCCGUCGGGGGUUGCGCGCAUGGUGUCGUGGGAACGCCUGUCCAACGGCCGACGCCGUUGGCUGUGGUGAUAAAUGCAUGCGUGAGGCGAACCGGGUUGGAUACCGGGCCGUAGAGGGUGAUGGCCCCGUAGCCGUAUGCGCGUGCACCAUGGAUGGUGUCUCCCGAGUAGCGCGGGACUCGUGGAAUCCCGUGUGAAUCCGCCCGGACCGUCGGGUAAGCCUGAGUAUACCUGUCUGACCGAUAGCGUACGAGUACCGUGAGGGAAAGGUGAAAAGCACCCCGGGAGGGGAGUGAAAGAGUUCCUGAAACCGUGCGCCCGCGAACCGUCGGAGCCCCCUUGGUGGGGUGACGGCGUGCCUAUCGAAAAAUGAGUCUGCGAGUCAGUGGCAUGUGGCGAGCAUAAGCCGUGUGGUGUAUGCGUAGCGAAAGCGAGUCUUAAAAGGCGUCUUUUCAGUCGCGUGUCCUGGACCCGAAGCGGGAUGAUCUAGCCCUGGUCAGGUUGAAGCGCGGGUAAGACCGCGUGGAGGACCGCACCCACUUAGGUUAAAAACUGAGGGGAUGAACUGGGGUUAGGGGUGAAAGGCCAAUCAAAUUCCGUGAUAGCUGGUUCUCUUCGAAAUGCAUUUAGGUGCAGCGUCGGUUGAUUGCGUGUGGGGGGUAGAGCUACUGGAUGCUUGCGGGCCCGUGCCGGGUACCAACAGCAACCAAACUCCGAAUACCCAUCGCGUCUAUUCCGGCAGUGAGUCGGCGGGGGAUAAGCUCCGUCGUCGAGGGGGAGACAGCCCUGACCGUCGUCUAAGGUCCCCAAGCGCGUGCUAAGUGGGAAAGGAUGUGGAGUCGCAUAGACAGCCAGGAGGUUGGCUCAGAAGCAGCCAUCCUUGAAAGAGUGCGUAACAGCUCACUGGUCUAGUGGUUCCGCGCCGACAAUGUAGCGGGGCUCAAGCACGCCACCGAAGACGCGGAUGCGGCCGUAUGGCCGUGUGGUAGGAGAGCGUCCCACACCGGGGCGAAGCGGCGGGGGAACCCGGCCGUGGACUGUGUGGGAGUGAGAAUGCAGACAUGAGUAGCGAGAGCAGGGUGAGGAUCCCUGCCGCUGGAAGACCAAGGGUUCCAGGGCCACGUUCGUCGUCCCUGGGUGAGUCGGGUCCUAAGGCGAGGCCGACAGGCGUAGUCGAAUGGAUGAACGGGUCGAUAUUCCCGUACCGGCUUUCGGACCGACCAACAGCCCGUGUGAACAAGGGCCAUCCGAUACGGUUGAUGGGGGCUUCGGCCUCCUGAUUCCGUUGCUGUUUGGCCUGGACGCGCAUGGGUUGAGCGUUUCAGGAGUGACGCGGACGGGUAGCCGGCCGGGGAGGUGGUUUUCCCUGGUCAAGCGUGUGGCCCCGCCCCCAGGCAAAUCCGGGGGCUUCAUGGGGUGAGGCGUGAUGAUGGGCGCUUUCAUGGCGUGAUAUCCGGUGAUCCCGUCGGCCGAGAAAAGCUUCGGCGCGAGGUCCGUUGCCGCCCGUACCCCAAACCGACACAGGUGGUCUGGUAGAGUAUACCGAAGCGAUCGAGCGAAUCCUGGUCAAGGAACUCGGCAAAUUGCUCCCGUGCCUUCGGCAUAAGGGAGACCCCCGGCCGUGCCGGCCCCUUGCGGGUCGUGGGCGGCUGGGGGUGGCACAGGCCAGGGGGUAGCGACUGUUUACCAAAAACACAGGUGCAUGCCAAGACGCAAGUCGCCGUAUAUGCACUGACGCCUGCCCGGUGCCGGAAGGUUAAGAGGAUCCAUCAGCGUCCCCUCGCGGGAUGCGAAGUGGUGAAUUCAAGCCCCGGUAAACGGCGGUGGUAACUAUAACCAUCCUAAGGUAGCGAAAUUCCUUGUCGGGUAAGUUCCGACCUGCACGAAUGGAGUAACGACUUCCCUACUGUCUCAACCAUGAACUCGGCGAAAUUGCAGUACGAGUAAAGAUGCUCGUUUCGCGCAGCAGGACGGAGAUCGGAAGAGCGUCGUGUAGGGAAAGAGUGUAGAUCUCGGU
rnacentral:rRNA from 1 species